rnacentral:rRNA from 1 species
CAGGCGGCCUUAGCGCGGUGGUCCCACCUGACCCCAUGCCGAACUCAGAAGUGAAACGCCGUAGCGCCGAUGGUAGUGUGGGGUCUCCCCAUGCGAGAGUAGGGAACUGCCAGGC